UUUAGUUUUAAAGGCCAAUAGAAAGAAAUAUCUUCUUUUACCCAAAUUCUCUUAGUCAAUUUUUACUCCAUUCUCAAGUUUUUGGAAGUCACGAUGGAUUUGAGCUCUGAAGCCUCCGUUGAUUUGAAGCUUCCUUCAGUGGCUACUAAGGAUUUGAGCUGAAGCACGCAUCAAUUUUUCUUUCUGCUUGAACUGAAGUGCACUAAGAGAAAAAUAAGGAAUAUCUUGAACAAUCAUGGAGAAUUCUAGAAAUAGAAGAUGGAUGGAUUACAGUAGAGUCAGUAAAGAGUAUUUAGAUGGAGUAGAAAAUUUCCUAAACCAUGUAUUUCGUGAAAACCAUAAUGGAGGAACAAUUUCAUGCCCUUGUACAAAAUGUGUGCUAUACUAUCAAGUAAAUAGGGCAGUGGCAUAUGAUCAUCUCAUGCUGAUACUCAUGCCAAUAUUCUGCUCAUACAAAAUACAAAUGUUGAUUUUCUGCUUAUACAUGGAGCAUUACAUGUUUGAGAUACUAUAUUUGGACAAGAUGUGGUAUACUCGUUCAAAUGGUGAACUUGUUCAAGGAAUGACAGACUGAUCCAGGGAGCUGCACAUUUUGCAUUAGGGAAAAAAACAGUGGCUUUAUUGCUUUAUUUUCUCCAUUGUUGAACAUAAUUUUUCUAUUUUGAUAAUUCAUAGUUUCUUUUACUGCUAACGAGAUUAGAAAGUGAAUGUGAUAAAGAUUGUUUGAUCUUAUUUUAUGUGAAUGACAUUGUUUUGAGUUUGGUAA